GAUGAACGCUAGCUACAGGCUUAACACAUGCAAGUCGAGGGGCAGCAUGGUCGAAGCUUGCUUCGACUGAUGGCGACCGGCGCACGGGUGCGUAACGCGUAUCGAACCUGCCCUAUACACGGGGAUAGCCUUGCGAAAGUAAGAUUAAUACCCGAUGCCAAGUUGAGAUCGCAUGAUUUUGAUUUGAAAGAAAUUCGGUAUAGGAUGGCGAUGCGUCUGAUUAGGUAGAUGGCGGGGUAACGGCCCACCAUGCCGACGAUCAGUAGGGGUUCUGAGAGGAAGGUCCCCCACAUUGGAACUGAGACACGGUCCAAACUCCUACGGGAGGCAGCAGUGAGGAAUAUUGGUCAAUGGUCGCGAGACUGAACCAGCCAAGUAGCGUGCAGGACGACGGCCCUCUGGGUUGUAAACUGCUUUUAGUGGGAAUAAAGGCGGUACGUGUACCGCGUAUUGUAUGUACCAUCAGAAAAAGGCCGGCUAAAUUCCGUGCCAG
rnacentral:rRNA from 1 species